CCUACGGGAGGCAGCAGUGAGGAAUAUUGGUCAAUGGCCGGAAGGCUGAACCAGCCAAGUAGCGUGAGGGAAGACGGCCCUAUGGGUUGUAAACCUCUUUUAUGCGGGGAUAAAGGGGGCCACGUGUGGAUGUUUGCAGGUAACGCAUGAAUAAGGACCGGCUAAUUCCGUGCCAGCAGCCGCGGUAAUACGGAAGGGCCGGGCGUUAUCCGGAUUUAUUGGGGUUAAAGGGGACGUAGGCCGGUCUUUAAGCGUGCCGUGAAAUUUUGUGGCUCAACCAUGAGAGUGCGGCGCUAACUGGCGACCUUGAUUGCGCGACAGGCAGGCGGACUUCGUGUUGUAGCGGUGAAAUGCUUAGUUAUCACGCAGAACCCCGAUUGCGAAGGCAGCCUGCCGCAGCUUUACUGACGCUGAGGCUCGAAAGCGCGGGUAUCGAACAGGAUUAGAUACCCUAGUAGUC
rnacentral:rRNA from 1 species